rnacentral:rRNA from 1 species
GCGGCAGGCCUAACACAUGCAAGUCGAACGCUGUAGCAAUACAGAGUGGCAGACGGGUGAGUAACGCGUGGGAACGUGCCUUUCGGUUCGGAAUAACUCAGGGAAACUUGAGCUAAUACCGGAUACGCCCUUCGGGGGAAAGAUUUAUUGCCUAAAGAUCGGCCCGCGUCCGAUUAGCUAGUUGGUGAGGUAAAGGCUCACCAAGGCGACGAUCGGUAGCUGGUCUGAGAGGAUGAUCAGCCACACUGGGACUGAGACACGGCCCAGACUCCUACGGGAGGCAGCAGUGGGGAAUAUUGGACAAUGGGCGCAAGCCUGAUCCAGCCAUGCCGCGUGAGUGAUGAAGGCCCUAGGGUUGUAAAGCUCUUUCGCCAGGGACGAUAAUGACGGUACCUGGAUAAGAAGCCCCGGCUAACUUCGUGCCA